rnacentral:rRNA from 1 species
UACGGAGGGGGCUAGCGUUGUUCGGAAUUACUGGGCGUAAAGCGCACGUAGGCGGACUGUUAAGUCGGGGGUGAAAUCCUGGGGCUCAACCUCAGAAUUGCCUCCGAUACUGUCAGUCUCGAGUGCGGGAGAGGUGAGUGGAAUUCCCAGUGUAGAGGUGAAAUUCGUAGAUAUUGGGAAGAACACCAGUGGCGAAGGCGGCUCACUGGCCCGUAACUGACGCUGAGGUGCGAAAGCGUGGGGAGCAAACAGG